GUUAGGAAUAUUGGACAAUGGGCGAAAGCCUGAUCCAGCCAUGCCGCGUGAACGAUGAAGGCCUUCGGGUUGUAAAGUUCUUUAGCCGAUGAUUAUAAUGGCUGUAGUCGGAAAAUAAGCCCCGGCUAACUUCGUGCCAGCAGCCGCGGUAAUACGAAGGGGGCGAGCGUUAUUCGGAAUCACUGGGCGUAAAGCGUGCGUAGGCGGUUUUGUAAGUUAGGAGUGAAAGCCCAGGGCUCAACCUUGGAAUUGCUCUUAAAACUGCAAGGCUCGAAUCUCGGAGAGGAUAGCGGAAUUUCCAGUGUAGCAGUGAAAUGCGUAGAUAUUGGAAGGAACACCAGUGGCGUAAGCGGCUAUCUGGACGAGUAUUGACGCUGAGGCACGAAAGCGUGGGGAUCAAACAGGAUUAGAAACCCUGGUAGUCC
rnacentral:rRNA from 1 species